rnacentral:rRNA from 1 species
GAUGAACGCUAGCGGGAGGCUUAACACAUGCAAGUCGAGGGGUAGGGAAGCAAUUCCUGAGAUCGGCGGACGGGUGCGUAACGCGUAUGCAACCUGCCUUAUACAGGGGGAUAGCCCAUGGAAACGUGGAUUAACACCUCAUAGGAUUACGGGAUCGCAUGCAUUUGUGAUUAAAACUGAGGUGGUAUAAGAUGGGGAUGCGUCUGAUUAGGUAGUUGGUAGGGUAAUGGCCUACCAAGCAGACGAUCAGUAGGGGUUCUGAGAGGAUUACCCCCCACACUGGUACUGAGACACGGACCAGACUCCUACGGGAGGCAGCAGUGAGGAAUAUUGGUCAAUGGCCGGAAGGCUGAACCAGCCAUCCCGCGUGCAGGAUGACGGCCCUAUGGGUUGUAAACUGCUUUUGUACCUGAAGAAUAGGCCCAACGAGUUGGGAUUUGCCGGUAAGGUAUGAAUAAGCAUCGGCUAACUCCGUGCCAGCAGCCGCGGUAA